rnacentral:rRNA from 1 species
UACCAGCUCUCCGAGUGGUGUGGACGUUUAUUGGGCCUAAAGCAUCCGUAGCUGGCUGAUCAAGUCCCCUGUUAAACCCACCGAUUUAAUCGUUGGCUUGCGGGGGAUACUGUUCGGCUAGGGGACGAGAGAGGCAGGCGGUAUUCCCGGGGUAGGGGUGAAAUCCUAUAAUCCCGAGAAGACCACCAGUGGCGAAGGCUGCCUGCUAGAACGCGCCCGACGGUGAGGGAUGAAAGCUGGGGGAG